UAUGUAGCUUUUGAUUUUGUACAGCUGCUACCUUGGCCAGGUCUCCCUUGUAAAAGAGACUUCUAAUCUCAGUGGGACUUCCUGGUUAAAUAACGAGAAAUAUAUAAAUUUUUCUGCAAUUUUUUUGAGAGGCACCUGCCUGCAGCCCUCCACGGUCAAGCCUGCGCCGGAACUGACUUGACCAUGGUGCCUCUCAUCAGACCUGCUGAUGUGAACACACCAGUGGAAGGGGACUCGGUUGACGUGCGUAUUCUGCAUGAUUCCAAAUGUGCAGCAGAGUGGGUUGAGGCCAAUCAGAAACUCUUCUCUGCUGUAGUGGACCUGCCUGAUGGUCUGUGCAUGGAGGAGGAGUAACAGGCUGAGGCUGCUCUGCAGUAUAGGAGAGUCUGGGAGGAGAAAAUGGAAAAGAAAGAAAAGGAAGCAAUACCGGAUGUAUUCAAAUUUACAUUCCACAAUAUUGAUGACGUGUUGAAAUUCUGUGAGAUCAUAGUUGAUCAAAAAAUUUGGGGCAUGUUGUCAAUGUCACACUGAUGAAUAAAUAAAAGUAACAGUACAUUUGA